CAUCACUUCGCUCAUCUUGCCCUCCAAAAUGCUGGAUGGUCGACCUCUCGUAGAGACCAAGCUCAGUGGUUCUGUCUCGGUUGAAGCAGUGGAUGUUGAUGGCCAUGUGGAAGAACAUUCCGGUUUCUAUUCUUGCAACAAGGCAGAUGAUGGAGAAUUGACUCGUUUUCGCCUCACGAUUAGGGGAAGCCAACGCAUAUUUUAUUGCUCAACUCUUGAAGUUGGAGGAAUUCAAUCGGUAUAUGUGGUAUCAAAGCUUUUGUUCUUGUGAUUGCGUUUGUUGUUGUUGUUAUAGUCGUCACAUUCAUCGUGGAACUUGUUCUUAGUACUGCUCUUGCUAACCAAAUGGAAGCGGAGUUCGAGAGUAUGAACAAGAGUGUUGCAUUUGUCUGUGGCUGCCACGACAUACAUGCCGCUGAUAGGAUAAACCUCCUAUUGGGCUGAUCGGCCAUCGAUAAAUAUUUGUCGCGGGCAAGUGCCCGACCCGCCCGUCAAGCAAGACGGUUCUCUCACUUUGGAGAAGCCAAUAAACGAAUUUAACUAACUAAAUAAUGUUAACGCUCGUAUCAACUGCUCUGUUGCCAUAUCCAGCCUCAUGGAUCUUUGUCGUGCAACUGCAAAACCAGAACCCGAAUUGACAUCCAACUUAGACCACAUGACUAGUUGUGCAAUGGAUCUUCUUCUUCUAGGCAUACUAAACUCUAUUCUUGACACAAGCAAAAUUGAAGCUGAGAAAAUGCAACUGGAAGAGGAGGAAUUCAAUGUAGCAAAGCUUGCUGAAGAUGUUGUGGAUUUGUUCUAUCCCCUCAGCUUGAAGAAAGGCGUGGAUAUUGUGCUCGAUCCCACUGACUGCUCAAUCUUCAAGCAUAGUGUCGUUAAAGGGGAUAGGGCGAAGCUCAAACAGAUUUUAUGCAACUCGUUGAGCAAUGCUCUACCAAGUUUACAUCACAAGGCCACAUCUCAGUUUGAGCUAUGGUCAGCAAACGAAACCAAAUAACAAGAGUUGAAGAAAAUGAUGGAUUGGAUUACAUAUUUGAUGUUGAUGAUAUGGGAGAAGGAAUCCCAAAAGAGAUGCGAGCAUUGGUUUUUGACAACUUCGUGCAGGUGAAGGAGACGGCCCUCGGACAAGGAACGGGUUUGGGUUUGGGAAUCAUCCGAUCUUUGGUUCAUCUCAUGGGAGGCAAAAUCAAGAUUGUAGCGAAAGAGGCACUUGCUUUAGAUUCAAUGUAGUCUUCACUGCAUGUAAAGGGACGAGCAACGAUGGAUAUCCAGUAGGUAGUUUUGGGGUGCCAUUGGCCUCAAGAUCAUAUGCAUCCCACGUUAUUCUCUUCCUCACAAGUAGCGAGCGUAGGUGAGCUACUGAGAAUCUGAUGAGGAGGUUGGGUCUUAGAGUCUCAAUUGUCAAAACAAUUAGUGAUCUUGUCAAUGUUCUUAAUGUGAUUGAUACGAUUUCUGAGUUCAACAAUGAAACCAGUGGCACUCAAUCCAACUCUAUCCUGAUUGUGUUGGAUGCAAAUGCAGCCUCAAUCUGAGAACUAUCUUGUGAUUUGGGACAAGACGUUCAUAAGUUGCAGUGUGAAAUUGUUUGGGUAGAAAAUUCUAUGAAACCAAAGGAGUCAGAAGACAUAGAUGAGGAGAAUAGAAUACCUGCAUGGAUCACAUCUAAACCGCAUUCUACAACUGCUUCAUGAAUUCAGACCAUCCAGAAAUAAAGAGAUUCAAUCUUCGCAUGAAGAUAGUCUAGUCGAGCAUGAAGCAACGAGCGUGGCGAAUGAAAUUGAGGUGGUGGUGGUUAGUGAAAAUGAUCAAGUGGGGGACAAUAAGGCAUUGAACGGGAAGAAUGUGCUCCUGGUGGAAGAUGACAGGACGCUGUGCAUGCUGGCAAAGACGAUACUUUACAAACUCAGAGCAACUCUCCAUGUUUGCGAAAAUGGAAAAGAAGCACUUGAUCUAGUCGAGACAACUUUGAAGAAUAAGGCAUCUCUUCCCUUUGAUUACAUAUUUAUGAACUGUAAGGUACUUUGUUUACAUUCCAGAGUAACAUGGAGAUACAACAUCCGGGUUGCUAUAUCUGUAUAUUACGUUGUGGUUUCGUGAUUAGAUGCCGUUAAUGGAUGGAUUUGAAGCUACGAGACUCAUCAGAAAAGAAGAAGCAGCCUAUGGAAUCCACACGCUGUGACUGCAUAUUCAACUCCUGAUGAAGUUAAUCGGGCCAUGGAUGCAGGGGUGGAUUUCCAUUUGCUCAAACCAUUGACCAUACAAAAUAUCCUGGACCUCAUUCACUAUACUAACAACUCUCAAAUUUAUACCACACCCAAAAUCUCUUGACAUGGUGAUUAAUUUAGGCACUUACUACUUUUA